UACGAAGGGGGCUAGCGUUGUUCGGAAUCACUGGGCGUAAAGCGCACGUAGGCGGACUGUUAAGUCGGGGGUGAAAUCCUGGGGCUCAACCCCAGAACUGCCCUCGAUACUGGCGGUCUUGAGUGUGGGAGAGGUUGGUGGAACUCCGAGUGUAGAGGUGAAAUUCGUAGAUAUUCGGAAGAACACCAGUGGCGAAGGCGGCCAACUGGCCCAUUACUGACGCUGAGGUGCGAAAGCGUGGGGAGCAAACAGG
rnacentral:rRNA from 1 species